UACGUAGGGUGCGAGCGUUAAUCGGAAUUACUGGGCGUAAAGCGUGCCCAGGCGGUUGUGCAAGACAGAGGUGAAAUCCCCCGAGCUUAACUUGGGAAUGGCCUUUGUGACUGCACGGCUAGAGUGUGUCAGAGGGGGGGUAGAAUUCCACGUGUAGCAGUGAAAUGCGUAGAGAUGUGGAGGAAUACCGAUGGCGAAGGCAGCCUCCUGGGCCAACACUGACGCUCAUGCACGAAAGCGUGGGGGAGCAAACAGG
rnacentral:rRNA from 1 species